rnacentral:rRNA from 1 species
GCAUAACGCGAAGAACCUUACCAGGUCUUGACAUCCCUCUGACCGGUCCGUAACGGGACCUUUCCUUCGGGACAGAGGAGACAGGUGGUGCAUGGUUGUCGUCAGCUCGUGUCGUGAGAUGUUGGGUUAAGUCCCGCAACGAGCGCAACCCCUAUCCUUAGUAGCCAGCAGUUCGGCUGGGCACUCUAGGGAGACUGCCAGGGAUAACCUGGAGGAAGGCGGGGAUGACGUCAAAUCAUCAUGCCCCUUAUGAUCUGGGCUACACACGUGCUACAAUGGUGACUACAAAGGGAAGCAACCCUGUGAAGGUGAGCAAAUCCCAAAAAGGUCAUCCCAGUUCGGAUUGUAGUCUGCAACUCGACUACAUGAAGAUGGAAUCGCUAGUAAUCGCGAAUCAGAAUGUCGCGGUGAAUACGUUCCCGGGUCUUGUACACACCG